rnacentral:rRNA from 1 species
CUACGGGAGGCUGCAGUGGGGAAUAUUGCACAAUGGGCGCAAGCCUGAUGCAGCCAUGCCGCGUGUAUGAAGAAGGCCUUCGGGUUGUAAAGUACUUUCAGCGGGGAGGAAGGGAGUAAAGUUAAUACCUUUGCUCAUUGACGUUACCCGCAGAAGAAGCACCGGCUAACUCCGUGCCAGCAGCCGCGGUAAUACGGAGGGUGCAAGCGUUAAUCGGAAUUACUGGGCGUAAAGCGCACGCAGGCGGUUUGUUAAGUCAGAUGUGAAAUCCCCGGGCUCAACCUGGGAACUGCAUCUGAUACUGGCAAGCUUGAGCCUCGUAGAGGGGGGUAGAAUUCCAGGUGUAGCGGUGAAAUGCGUAGAGAUCUGGAGGAAUACCGGUGGCGAAGGCGGCCCCCUGGACGAAUACUGACGCUCAGGUGCGAAAGCGUGGGGAGCAAACAGGAUUAGAUACCCGGGUAGUC